AACGUAGGUGGCAAGCGUUAUCCGGAAUUACUGGGCGUAAAGGGUGUGCAGGCGGGGUUGCAAGUGGUGUAUGAAAUAUCCCAGCUUAACUGGGAGGGUUAUGCCAGACUGCAACUCUAGAGGACGGAGAGAGGGGGGUGGAAUUCCGGGGUGUAGUGGUGAAAUGCGUAGAGAUCCGGAGGAACCCAGAGGCGAAGGCGGCCCCUG
rnacentral:rRNA from 1 species